rnacentral:miRNA from 1 species
CCUUAUCAUUCACCAGUCCGG